rnacentral:rRNA from 1 species
GAUGAACGCUGGCGGCGUGCCUAAUACAUGCAAGUCGAGCGAACGGACGAGAAGCUUGCUUCUCUGAUGUUAGCGGCGGACGGGUGAGUAACACGUGGAUAACCUACCUAUAAGACUGGGAUAACUUCGGGAAACCGGAGCUAAUACCGGAUGAUAUUUUGAACCGCAUGGUUCAAAAGUGAAAGACGGUCUUGCUGUCACUUAUAGAUGGAUCCGCGCUGCAUUAGCUAGUUGGUAAGGUAACGGCUUACCAAGGCAACGAUGCAUAGCCGACCUGAGAGGGUGAUCGGCCACACUGGAACUGAGACACGGUCCAUACUCCUACGGGAGGCAGCAGUAGGGAAUCUUCCUCAAUGGGCGAAAGCCUGACGGAGCAACGCCGCGUGAGUGAUGAAGGUCUUCGGAUCGUAAAACUCUGUUAUUAGGGAAGAACAUAUGUGUAAGUAACUGUGCACAUCUUGACGGUACCUAAUCAGAAAGCCACGGCUAACUACGUG